UGUGUGUGUGUGUGUGUGUGUGUGUGUGUGUGUGUGUGUGUGUGUGUGUGUGUGUGUGUGUGUGACAUCAUCAGAGUUCAGGUCAACAGGUUAUUAAAAAAACUUUAUUAACAGUAAUGUACAGUACAGUAACAGUACAGGUUUUAUUGUAGAAAAUAUAAAAUGAAUGAAUCAUAAAUAAAUUGUACUAUAAAUGAAAACAAUCUUAAAGAUGAAUAAACAAUAUUUCACAGCAACUUAUAAAAUGUGACAAUGACGUCACAAUGUUUGUGAAAAGAUGAAACGUCUUUAAAGCUUUUUAGUCUUUGGAGACUCUGCAGACAGAAUCAGAGAAAGUCUGAAGUUCAACAUCAAACUAGUUUUUAUUUUGAGGAAAAUGAAGAAAUCUGAAUUAGUGAAUAUGAUGUUUGCAUAAAAGACGCAGCAAUUUGAUCAAGUUAUCAACCUCACUGUUGUUAGACUCUC